rnacentral:tRNA from 1 species
GGGAAUAUGGCUUAGUGGUAAAGUGCUUGCCUAGCAUGCAUGAGACCCUGGGUUCAAUUACUCAGUACCA